rnacentral:rRNA from 1 species
UACGUAGGUGACCAGCGUUGUCCGGAUUUACUGGGCGUAAAGAGCGCGCAGGCGGUCGUUCAAGUCGAGUGUGAAAGCCCACGGCUCAACCGUGGAGGGUCAUUGGAAACUGGGGGACUUGAGUGCAGAAGAGGAGAGCGGAAUUCCACGUGUAGCGGUGAAAUGCGUAGAGAUGUGGAGGAACACCAGUGGCGAAGGCGGCUCUCUGGUCUGUAACUGACGCUGAGGCGCGAAAGCGUGGGGAGCGAACAGG